rnacentral:lncRNA from 1 species
GAAACACCUGGUUUACCAUCCGUUAUAGCAUUUUCCACAUAAGAAAUUUAAAAUCUGAAGCGUCUUCUGAGUCAACUUAACUCUCUAUCAACUGUUGGCACAUCAAAUAUGGUAAAAUCAGGUAUUACUCAUCCUAUUUCCACUCCUGAUAAUUGGAUUAUAGAUUUUAGAGCUAACAGACAUAUGACAGGCUCUUCUAAAGAAUUCUUAACC